rnacentral:rRNA from 1 species
UACGUAGGGCGCAAGCGUUAUCCGGAAUUAUUGGGCGUAAAGAGCUCGUAGGCGGUUUGUCGCGUCUGCCGUGAAAGUCCGGGGCUUAACCCCGGAUCUGCGGUGGGUACGGGCAGACUAGAGUGCAGUAGGGGAGACUGGAAUUCCUGGUGUAGCGGUGAAAUGCGCAGAUAUCAGGAGGAACACCGAUGGCGAAGGCAGGUCUCUGGGCUGUAACUGACGCUGAGGAGCGAAAGCAUGGGGAUCAAACAGG